UACGUAGGGUGCGAGCGUUAAUCGGAAUUACUGGGCGUAAAGCGUGCGCAGGCGGUUCGUUGUGUCGGUGGUGAAAGCCCCGGGCUUAACUUGGGAAUUGCGCUCGAAACUACGUGGCUGGAGUGUGGCAGAGGAAGGUGGAAUUCCACGUGUAGCGGUGAAAUGCGUAGAGAUGUGGAGGAACACCAAUGGCGAAGGCAGCCUUCUGGGCCAACACUGACGCUCAUGCACGAAAGCGUGGGGAGCAAACAGG
rnacentral:rRNA from 1 species